rnacentral:misc_RNA from 1 species
GAUGAAGAACGCAGCGAAAUGCGAUAAGUAAUGUGAAUUGCAGAAUUCAGUGAAUCACCGAAUCUUUGAACGCACAUUGCGCCCGCCAGUAUUCUGGCGGGCAUGCCUGUCUGAGCGUCAUUUCAACCCUCAUGCCCCUAGGGCGUGGUGUUGGGGAUCGGCCAAAGCCCGCGAGGGACGGCCGGCCCCUAAAUCUAGUGGCGGACCCGUCGUGGCCUCCUCUGCGAAGUAGUGAUAUUCCGCAUCGGAGAGCGAUGAGCCCCUGCCGUUAAACCCCCAACUUUCCAAGGUUGACCUCAGAUCAGGUAGGAAUACCCGCUGAACUUAAGCAUAUCAAUAAGCGGAGGA